rnacentral:lncRNA from 1 species
AGCGGAGCUGCGGACCGCGCGCGCCGGGCUGCCUGCAUCCGCGAGGCGAUGAUACGCGUCCCGCAGCCACGGGAGUGACGGCAGCUCGAGCGGGGACCCCGCGGGCUCUGCCUCCGCGCGCCACCGCCCACUCCGCUCCGCUCCGGUCCGGUCCGGUGCGGUGCGCUGCGCUGCGCUGUGGAGAGCCGGGAACGGCGCGCUCCGUCCGGGGUACACAGACAGCCCUGGAAGGAACUGAGCCAGGAUUACUCUGUCCGCCCGCAAAGCUUCUUCUGAUACCCAACAAACCCAGUUCCUCAGAGGAGGGCUCGUUAUUAUUAGAGGGAUCCACGCGAGCAAAACCAACCUCUAGGGAGACGGUCCCUUUCCAAAGCAAGCGAAGGCAAGAGCAGAUGGGUACCGAGUCCAGUGCUAAAGAGAACAGUCAAGGCCUCCUACUGGGAGCAGGUUAAAGCAGAUGCAAGCAGAGCUCCUGGAGGAGCAUUGGAACACCUCCCGGCCACAAUCUACCCCACAGGUGGAAGAUAUCACCACGUGGGAAAGAGCUUCACCAUUGUUUGCAAACCUUAUCACCAAGCACUGGUACAUCCUGCAGGCCCC